AAAUAGGUGCCUGUAAAGGCUUAAUAGAGAAGUUCGGUGUAAAACCGAUGCGGUCCCGCCACUGUAAUGGAGAGCAAACUCAAGAGAUGCCACUGAAGCGCUGCGUUUUGGGAAGGUUUGAGGAAGCGAUGAACCAGAGCCAGGAGAACUGCCUGUUUAA
rnacentral:ncRNA from 1 species